rnacentral:lncRNA from 1 species
CCAACUAUAAUCAACUAUUUACAACUUGAUAUGACUUGCUUUUCUAUGCUUUUCAUCUUCUUUUUUCAUUUUUUUCAUUUUUCACUUUUUGACUUUAUUUAUAUUGCUGCUUUUUCCAAAUGGGGAGAGUCACAACCUUGGCCAGAAUCGGAAGUAACCAGUCUCCGACCCGCCCCAAGCCUCAUAAAGGUUGGGAAGAACGCGAACCUCAAAGGUCGCCACGCAUGUUUAGGUUGUAACCAAACCCCACACCAUUUUUAUUCUAGGAUCCUCAUUUGGACUCCUCCUGUAUGUUUUACCUUCAUAUCAGCCUAGAAAAAAU